rnacentral:rRNA from 1 species
UAAGGAAUAUUGGUCAAUGGACGCAAGUCUGAACCAGCCAUGCCGCGUGGAGGAUGAAGGUCCUCUGGAUUGUAAACUUCUUUUAUCUGGGAAGAAAUCCAUUUUUUCUAAAGUGGUUGACGGUACCAGAUGAAUAAGCACCGGCUAACUCCGUGCCAGCAGCCGCGGUAAUACGGAGGGUGCAAGCGUUAUCCGGAUUCACUGGGUUUAAAGGGUGCGUAGGUGGGCAAGUAAGUCAGUGGUGAAAUCUCCGGGCUUAACCCGGAAACUGCCAUUGAUACUAUUUGUCUUGAAUACUGUGGAGGUCAGCGGAAUAUGUCAUGUAGCGGUGAAAUGCUUAGAUAUGACAUAGAACACCAAUUGCGAAGGCAGCUGGCUACACAAAUAUUGACACUGAGGCACGAAAGCGUGGGGAUCAAACAGGAUUAGAUACCCUGGUAGUCCACGCCCUAAACGAUGGAUACUCGACAUCAGCGAU